AAACACGAUCAACACAAACCGUUAAUUACUAUUCCAUUUUCUCUAUCAAUUUGAAUGUCCACAAUUUAAUCUUUACAUGUACCUAAUUUUUAAAUAUAUAUAUAUAUAGCUUGUUCUUUAAUAGAAAAUAUUUAAUAAUGUCAAAUCAAUUUACAAUAAAAAAUCAUAUUGAAAUCAAUGGUCAAAAAGAGCAAUUAAAACCGAUUAUAAAUGUUAAACGUUCAACUUUAUCAGAAUAUGCAAUAUCACAUAUUCGAACAAUUUCACGAAAAAUUUGUUCAGAAAUUCAAAUCGUUUCAGAUGUAAAUUAUGACGAUUUGUGCGGACCGUGGAUAUACUCAAAAAAUCCUCUUUAUAGUCAGUAUAUUGAUAUACCGUGUCCAAGUUUGUGCAUUUGGAAAUAUUUUACAGAAGAGGACAUAACUUAUCUAAAAAAAAAUCAAGAAAAUAAAAAUAUGAUAGUUUCUUUUUUUGGUAAAUAAAUAUAUAUUUCUCUGAUAAAUAUUAAUUAUGUAUGUAAGAUAAAUUAAUAUAAUUUUUUUCCAGAAAAUAAAUUGUUAAAUGAAACUACAGUAAAAAAUAAUACUGUUGUUUCAAAUGUAUUAUGGGAAUUCUUUAAAUUUGCUAGAUUAAAUUUAUUCACUGAGAAAAGCAUUUCUGCAUGUUUGGGUAUUGUGUAUUUAACACAUUUAUUUUUUCUUUCACAUCCAUGGUUGACAAUUCAAGAAGUCUAUCAAUUUUUUAAUAAAACUAUUUUAUUACAUGUUGUUUUGGUUUGUAUAUUAUCAAAUUUAUCAAAUUAUUCAGUUUUAUAUUAUAAUUUGUUUUUUUUUAAUGAAUGCUAUGAUUUUUAGAAACAUACAAACAUACAAAUUCUUUUCAUAUGCAUUUUCUUAAUUUAAUUUUGAUAACUGUGUUUAUAUUUUUUUUUUUUAGAUAUAAACAAAAGAUAAAAUUAUAUUUUUUGAUUAAUUUUUAUUUAUUAAAUAAUAUAAUUAUUUUUUUAUAAUAUUCCUAUAAUAUACCUAUCAAAAAAUUGUAACUAAAUACAUAUGUUAAAAAAUAAUGAAUCUUACUUACAUGAACAAAUGCAUAAUUCUAUUUUGUGUUUUUAAAUAAUAUUGUAAUUAAAAAGCAAAUUUAUAUAGUUUAUAUAAUUUAUGUAGUAUAAAAUAGUAAAUACUAAUAUAAAAAAAUAAAAAGUUUAAAAAAAAUUAUCAUUUAAAAGAAAGAAAUAACAUUUAAGUGAAAUUUAUAUGCAAUUUAUCAAUGCAUAUGAAUUAGAUAAUGUUUGUAUUUUUGUAUUGUAUAUUUGUAUUUUCAUUUUUAUCAUAAUAUUAUUUAAUAAGUAAACGUUUUUAAAAUUUA